rnacentral:rRNA from 1 species
ACAGAAGAAGCACCGGCUAAACUCCGUGCCAGCAGCCGCGGUAAUACGGAGGGUGCGAGCGUUAAUCGGAAUUACUGGGCGUAAAGCGCAUGCAGGCGGCCUGUUAAGUCAGAUGUGAAAGCCCGGGGCGUUAACCUCGGAAUUGCAUUUGAAACUGGCAGGCUAGAGUCUUGUAGAGGGGGGUAGGAAUUUCAGGUGUAGCGGUGAAAUAGCGUAGAGAUCUGAAGGAAUACCAGUGGCGAAGGCGGCCCCCUGGACAAAGACUGACGCUCAGACUGCGAAAGCGUGGGGAGCCAAACAGGAUUAGAUACCCCUGGUAG